GACGAACGCUGGCGGCGUGCUUAACACAUGCAAGUCGAACGGAAAGGCCCUGCUUUUGUGGGGUGCUCGAGUGGCGAACGGGUGAGUAACACGUGAGUAACCUGCCCUUGACUUUGGGAUAACUUCAGGAAACUGGGGCUAAUACCGGAUAGGAGCUCCUGCUGCAUGGUGGGGGUUGGAAAGUUUCGGCGGUUGGGGAUGGACUCGCGGCUUAUCAGCUUGUUGGUGGGGUAGUGGCUUACCAAGGCUUUGACGGGUAGCCGGCCUGAGAGGGUGACCGGGCACAUGGGGACUGAGAUACGGCCCAGAGUGCUACGGGAGGCAGCAGUGGGGAAUAUGGCACAAUGGGCGGAAGCCUGAUGCAGCAACGCCGCGUGCGGGAUGACGGCCUUCGGGUUGUAAACCGCUUUCGCCUGUGACGAAGCGUGAGUGACGGUAAUGGGUAAAGAAGCACCGGCUAACUACGUG
rnacentral:rRNA from 1 species